GGAGGAUAUAGCUCAGUGGUAGAGUGCAUGCCUACUAUGCAUGAGGUCCUGGGUUCAAUUCCCAGCGCCUCCA
rnacentral:tRNA from 1 species